rnacentral:tRNA from 1 species
AAGAGAUAAAAGACUUAAUAAGAACUGCUAACUACUUAUAUUUGAGGUUUAAUUCCCCAACUCUCUUG